rnacentral:rRNA from 1 species
GAUGAACGCUAGCGACAGGCUUAACACAUGCAAGUCGAGGGGCAGCGGGGGAGUAGCAAUACUCCCGCCGGCGACCGGCGCACGGGUGAGUAACACGUAUGAAACCUGCCCGUAGCAGGGGGAUAAGCGGAAGAAAUUCCGUCUAAUACCGCGUAACAACCCAUGGAGGCAUCUCCGUGGGUUUAAAGGAAGCGAUUCCGGCUACGGAUGGUCAUGCGUCGCAUUAGCUAGUUGGCGGGGUAACGGCCCACCAAGGCGACGAUGCGUAGGGGUUCUGAGAGGAAGGUCCCCCACACUGGUACUGAGACACGGACCAG